UCUUCAGGACUCUUAGUCCAAUUUGUAUCUUGUCCGUACUCGGACCUAUUUGAUCUUCUGUAUGAUUUGGAUCUUUGUAUUGUAUAUUUGUAUCUUGACUCGUUGGAGUUGUUGUUGUAAUAUAUGUAUCUUGUGGGCUCUAUUGUAAUCCUGUUGUAAUGUUACCGCUCGUGUUAAUUCCUCUGGCAUCACGUGUGUGAUUCGUCGCGCACGUCGUGUCGGAGGGCGUCUCUGGAUCGAUAUCGUGCGGAUUUCGGCGGGAUCGCUGGAAUCCUCAUGGUACCGGUUCCGGGGCGUCACAAGUUGGUAUCAGAGCCUCAGGUUGACGGUACCCCACUAGUCCAGCCUGUAGGAUAACCAUGCCAACGGACGUUGUUGUGUCUAGUGUCAAACCUAUUUUCUAAAAUUCGUUGGAUAGUUCUGAUUAGCUCUGAUUUUUCUCCUUACCUAAUUUCUUUCUCCUCUUACCUAUGCGAGUUUUGAGUCUUCUCUCUUACCUGAGUUUUGCUGAGUCUUAGGUUUUGACGUGGGUUGGACGAUCUUUGCCCUCACCUAUUAGGUCCGAUCUUCGGAGGAUCUCGACGAUAGCGCAUCAUCAACAUCGGAACAAAGAAUUCUUGUUAGUGGUGUCGACCGAUCAGCAUGGAGCAACAACUCUUGUUAGUGGUGUCGAGGAGAUCGACACGUCGCCUGAAGAUCCGAUAGUUCACCUCUCUUCCCCGUACCGUGGCGUGGAACCUCGGGGCGAGGUUCCUUGUUAGUGGUGUCGAUUGUAACGACCCAGGGUAGCACCCAUAAUAGAUUUUGCUUGUUCUUUUCUUUUAUGCAUCAUCAUGACAUCAUGCAUGCAUCAUACCGAUGUUUUGACAAAAUAGAAAUUAUUUUUAUUACACCCUAUUUUAUUUCUUUCUUGUAUGGUAUAUGAAAUCCGCCUCAAUUCUUUUCUUAUUUAACAAAACCCUCAAACCGAAUAUUUAAAUUCUUGCAAAAAUUAUUUUGGUUCAAUAAUAAAUAUUUCCAAAAUGUGUUCUGAAUCAUCUCUUCUCGUUUUCUUUCUGUCAUCUUCUUGGUCUCUAAAGUUCUAUCGUGUAUCUCUUUAUCUCCCAGCAAUUUCAUAUUUCCAAUUCUUCCAGAAAAUUUCUAAAAGAAAAACGUUGGGCACACCUUCAGCCUAGUUCCUCUCCUUGAGCGUGAGCCAGCUGCACAUCUCAACCUCCCCAACCACUCCAUUUUUCCUCUUCGAGUCCUGGAACCAUAGUGCUCUCUCCUCUCUGCCCUUCUCCCUGGACGUGGAGCUCUCCUCUCCACACACACUCACGCAUCCGCAUCACCCAGGCUUCCUUCCUUUUUCCCUUACGAAAGAAACCGGAGAGGGUUUUGCCCAACUGCAGAACGUCGGCGUCCCGUCGAUUCUGGCCUCCCCUCACCAAGCCAAGGCCACCAAGAACUUCUCCUCGUCAUUCUGAAUCUCUUCGACAGACGCACACAGCGAAUCGAGCUCGAAAUCGUCGACAGGGACCACUUCUUCAUCUUCGCCGCCGGCAGAAAUCCCAUCCUUCCGGCCGCCUCCGACCUCUUCCACCCCAGCCGAGGUGUCCAUCAACUUCCUGGUGAGAUGGUGCUCCUUUUCCCCAUCUUCCUCGCCCUGUUUGCUCACUGUUCGCCGUCGCCUUUAUCUGACGAAUCUGUCGUAUGUGUCUGUCCGAGCGCAUCUCCACCAUGGUUGGCGGCAGGCCUGCGUGCUGCUCGUGCUCGUCCCUGAAGGAUUCCGUUCCGGCCGCCAACAGCCUCACGUUUGCCUCCAGGUCGUGCAAGCACACGCAAAUCUCUGCACGCGCACGUCAGGCUGCUGGUUACUGGUCUCCUCGUCGCUGUUUCCUGCACAGUGCACUAGCUCCCGGCUUGAAACGAUCCACCUGCUAGCCUGCUUGUUUAAGCUAGCUAGUCACGGCUGGAAUCGAUUAAGAUGUCUGCUUGCUUCAACAAUCAAUCGACCCAGCUGCUUCAUUUGCUUAUUCACGGAUAGGAUCACAAAGUGGUGUUGUGAGAUACGACAAGUUCUUCUGCAGCUUUUCACAGGCGA